rnacentral:snoRNA from 1 species
UCUCGCUCUUCAGCUCCGUGCAAAGUUGUUAUCCUUCGUGCGGCGUUUCAUGGAGCGGAUAUAAGAGAAGAAUGACGAUUAUUGGUGUUUCUUCAUAGAGUACCGAUCACUGUUCGACUUCGUACACCU